rnacentral:rRNA from 1 species
AACGAACGCUGGCGGCAUGCCUAACACAUGCAAGUCGAACGAGACCUUCGGGUUUAGUGGCGCACGGGUGUGUCAAGCGUGGGAACCUGCCCUUAGGUGCGGAAUAACUCCCCGACACGGGUGCUAAUCCCGGAUAAUGUCUUCGGACCAAAGAUUUAUCGCCUUUGGAUGGGCCCGCGUUGGAUUAGCUAGUUGGUAGGGUAAAAGCCUACCAAGGCGACGAUCCAUAGCUGGUCUGGGAGGAUGAUCAGCCACACUGGGACUGAGACACGGACCAGACUCCUACGUUAGGCAGCAGUGGGGAAUAUUGGACAACGAGCGAGAGCCUGAUCCAGCAAUGCCGCGUGAGGUAUGAAGGCCUUAUGGUUGUAUAGCUCUUUUACCCGGGAUGAUAUUGACAGUACCGGAUGAAUAAGCUCCGGCUAACUCCGUG